rnacentral:rRNA from 1 species
UGUAAAGUUCAAGCUCCGAUUUGAGGGCGAACCGCGAAUGGCUCAUUAAAUCAGUCAUAAUCUACUUGAUUGUUUUAGGUUAUAUGGAUAACUGUGGUAAUUCUAGAGCUAAUACAUGCCGAGGCGGUCGACUUGUUGGGUUUACCCGGCGAGAAGGCCCGCGUUUAUUAGACUAAGACCAAUGUCCGCAAGGACAAAAAAUGGGUGACUCUGAGUAAAUAACGGGUGCAAGCCCGUGUAGCCGACCUGGCAUUUAAACGCAGCAAUGCGGCCAGGCGAAUCAAUCGAGUGUCUGCUCUAUCAACUGUGGAUGGUAGGGUAAUUGCCUACCAUGGUGAUGACGGGUAACGGGGAGUUAGGGCUCGACUCCGGAGAACAAGCCUGAGAAACGGCUAGUAGGACUAAGGUCUGCAGCAGGCGCGAAACUUACACAAUGCUAGAUUUCAACUUAGCGAUGUAGUGAAGAAAAAUAACGAUGUGCUUGCAUUUAAACAUGCUUGCACAAUUGGAAUGAGACGACUCUAAACCGGUCAGUCGAGUAACAAAUGGAGGGCAAGUCUGGUGCCAGCAGCCGCGGUAAUUCCAGCUCCAUUAGCAUACAUUAAAGUUGUUGCGGUUAAAAAGCUCGUAGUUGAAUGUAGUGGUUGUUGUGUAUGCUGGUGGGCGUUAAGGGUUCCUCCGGGUUCCUGUUCACCACGGAUACAAAGCAGCUAGUUUCGUCACUUAAUCGAGUGCGAAGCGAGGUGGAUCGUAGGUCUUCGGACCAACGUUUUACCAAGUUUACCUUGAGAAAAUCAGAGUGCUCAGAGCAGGCAGUUGGGGUGUAAAAGCCUCUUUAUGCUUGAAUGAUGUUGCAUGGAAUAAUAGAAUACGGCCUCGGUUCUAUUCUGUUGGUCUUAUAGAACAACAAACAAGUUGGUGUUGUCGCUAACGUUUUGUUGGUUUCGUGUUGUUGUUGGACUUGUUGUCAGGGGGUAAAACCUUUGUACCUACCAACUUCAACAUAAAAAGCGACUCCAAUGAAACAGACAAUCCACCAACUGAGGCAAUGGUUAAAAGAAAUAGUCGCGGCGGCAUCAGUACUGCAUCGUGAGAGGUGAAAUUCUUAGACCGAUGCAAGACUAACUGAAGCGAAAGCGUUUGCCGAGGAUAUUUUCAUUAAUCAAGAACGAAAGUUAGAGGUUCGAAGGCGAUCAGAUACCGCCCUAGUUCUAACCAUAAACGUUGCCAACUAGCAAUUGGGUUGCGAUUCCUUUAGUGGGCGCGUAAAAAACGUCCACCAUUAUGAUCCACCCAGCGGCUCUCGUAGGGAAACCAAAGUGUUUGGGUUCCGGGGGAAGUAUGAUUGCAAAGUUGAAACUUAAAGGAAUUGACGGAAGGGCACCACCAGGAGUGGAGCCUGCGGCUUAAUUUGACUCAACACGGGGAAACUUACUAGAUUAGAACUCUGGAAUGAUUGACAGAUUGAUAGCUCUUUCUUGAUUCAGAGGAUGGUGGUGCAUGGCCGUUCUUGAUUCGUAUUCCGAAACGUCUGCUUAAUUGCGAUAACGAGUGAGACCUCACCCAACUAACUAGUGCGCGGUUGCGAUGUUGGGGCAUCAAAGGGGUGGUUGGGUUCUGUGUAGGUCGGUGGCAACAUCGGCUUGCAUGCCAGCUGCUUCGCUCUCUUCUCGACCCGUGACUUCUUAGAGGGAUAAACGGUGUUUUAGCCGUAAGAAACGAG